rnacentral:rRNA from 1 species
UAACUGACGCUGAGGCACGAAAGCGUGGGGAGCAAACAGGAUUAGAUACCCUGGUAGUCCACGCUGUAAACGAUGAGUACUAGGUGUCGGGGGUUACCCCCUGCGGUGCCGCAGCUAACGCAUUAAGUACUCCGCCUGGGAAGUACGCUCGCAAGAGGGAAACUCAAAGGAAUUGACGGGGACCCGCACAAGUAGCGGAGCAUGUGGUUUAAUUCGAAGCAACGCGAAGAACCUUACCUAAGCUUGACAUCCCAAUGACAUCUCCUUAAUCGGAGAGUUCCCUUCGGGGACAUUGGUGACAGGUGGUGCAUGGUUGUCG